AACAGAAAGUAGCUUGCUACUUUGCUGACGAGCGGCGGACGGGUGAGUAAUGCUUGGGAACAUGCCUUUAGGUGGGGGACAACAGUUGGAAACGACUGCUAAUACCGCAUGAUGUCUACGGACCAAAGGGGGCUUCGGCUCUCGCCUAAAGAUUGGCCCAAGUGGGAUUAGCUAGUUGGUGAGGUAAUGGCUCACCAAGGCAACGAUCCCUAGCUGGUUUGAGAGGAUGAUCAGCCACACUGGAACUGAGACACGGUCCAGACUCCUACGGGAGGCAGCAGUGGGGAAUAUUGCACAAUGGGCGCAAGCCUGAUGCAGCCAUGCCGCGUGUGUGAAGAAGGCCUUCGGGUUGUAAAGCACUUUCAGUCAGGAGGAAAGGUUAGUAGUUAAUACCUGCUAGCUGUGACGUUACUGACAGAAGAAGCACCGGCUAACUCCGUGCCAGCAGCCGCGGUAAUACGGAGGGUGCGAGCGUUAAUCGGAAUUACUGGGCGUAAAGCGUACGCAGGCGGUUUGUUAAGCGAGAUGUGAAAGCCCCGGGCUCAACCUGGGAACUGCAUUUCGAACUGGCAAACUAGAGUGUGAUAGAGGGUGGUAGAAUUUCAGGUGUAGCGGUGAAAUGCGUAGAGAUCUGAAGGAAUACCGAUGGCGAAGGCAGCCACCUGGGUCAACACUGACGCUCAUGUACGAAAGCGUGGGG
rnacentral:rRNA from 1 species